AUACAGAGGGUGCAAGCGUUAAUCGGAUUUACUGGGCGUAAAGCGCGCGUAGGUGGCUAAUUAAGUCAAAUGUGAAAUCCCCGAGCUUAACUUGGGAAUUGCAUUCGAUACUGGUUAGCUAGAGUAUGGGAGAGGAUGGUAGAAUUCCAGGUGUAGCGGUGAAAUGCGUAGAGAUCUGGAGGAAUACCGAUGGCGAAGGCAGCCAUCUGGCUUAAUACUGACACUGAGGUGCGAAAGCAUGGGAAGCAAACAGGAUUAGAUACCCUGGUAGUCCAUGCCGUAAACGAUGUCUACUAGCCGUUGGGGCCCUUGAGGCUUUAGUGGCGCAGCUAACGCGAUAAGUAGACCGCCUGGGGAGUACGGUCGCAAGACUAAAACUCAAAGGAAUCGACGGGG
rnacentral:rRNA from 1 species